CCUAGUACGAGAGGACCGGAGUGGACGCAUCACUGGUGUUCGGGUUGUCAUGCCAAUGGCACUGCCCGGUAGCUAAAUGCGGAAGAGAUAAGUGCUGAAAGCAUCUAAGCACGAAACUUGCCCCGAGAUGAGUUUCCCUGAGACUUAGAGUCCCUGAAGGAACGUUGAAGACGACGACGUUGAUAGGCCGGGUGUGUAAGCGCAGCGAUGCGUUGAGCUAACCGGUACUAAUGAACCGUGAGGCUUAACCUUACAACGCCGAAG
rnacentral:rRNA from 1 species